UUAAUCUUGUCCGAAAAUUUUGUGGCAAAUGCGGUGUCUUCCAUUGCUGGAAGGUUGUGAAGUUUAAGGCUGCUCGGAUCAACUGGGGAUUUUCCUUUCCAGGUCCUUGCAUUUUUGUACCUCAAGAAGCCGAUUGUGGUGGAGUUGUUGAAGGGGAACACAGAGGUAAGAUAAGGCCUUGCUGCCAUGACAAACAUGCCUGUGAAGUCUGGAACUUGGUUUGCAGUCAUUAAAACAGUAGUGGUCUGUCCAGGAGCAAUCAUAAUGGAAGUGGUUGCGAAGGGUUUAGUGUAGACUGCAUCAACCUCCACUACUGUCAACGUAUGUUUCGCUAUCGCAAAGAAGAGCUCAUCCGCUAGAGCUGCAUUGAUGAUCCUAAGCAUGUAGGUCUUGCCAUAUUCCACCGUCUGAAUAUAAG